CAGACCAAUGAUAAGUGUGUGUCAUUAACCAAAGUUUAUGAUUAAUCUAAAUUUGUACACCUGAGGUCCACA
rnacentral:snoRNA from 1 species